rnacentral:tRNA from 1 species
GCGGGCGUAGCUCAGUUGGUAGAGCAUCAGCUUCCCAAGCUGAGGGUCGCGGGUUCGAGACCCGUCGCCCGCUCCA